rnacentral:rRNA from 1 species
AACAGGAUUAGAUACCCUGGUAGUCCACGCCGUAAACGAUGUCGACUUGGAGGUUGUUCCUUGAGGAGUGGCUUCCGGAGCUAACGCGUUAAGUCGACCGCCUGGGGAGUACGGCCGCAAGGUUAAAACUCAAAUGAAUUGACGGGGGCCCGCAUAAGCGGUGGAGCAUGUGGUUUAAUUCGAUGCAACGCGAAGAACCUUACCUACUCUUGACAUCCACGGAAUUCGGCAGAGAUGCCUUAGUGCCUUCGGGAACCGUGAGACAGGUGCUGCAUGGCUGUCGUCAGCUCGUGUUGUGAAAUGUUGGGUUAAGUCCCGCAACGAGCGCAACCCUUAUCCCUUGUUGCCAGCGAUUCGGUCGGGAACUCAAAGGAGACUGCCGGUGAUAAACCGGAGGAGGGUGGGGAUGACGUCAAGUCAUCAUGGCCCUUACGAGUAGGGCUACAUACGUGCUACAAUGGCGCAUACAAAGAGAAGCGACCUCGCGAGAGCAAGCGGACCUCACAAAGUGCGUCGUAGUCCGGAUCGGAGUCUGCAACUCGACUCCGUGAAGUCGGAAUCGCUAGUAAUCGUGGAUCAGAAUGCCACGGUGAAUACGUUCCCGGGCCUUGUACACACCGCCCGUCACACCAUGGGAGUGGGUUGCAAAAGAAGUAGGUAGCUUAACCUUCGGGAGGGCGCUUACCACUUUGUGAUUCAUGACUGGGGUGAAGUCGUAACAAGGUAACC